rnacentral:rRNA from 1 species
CCUACGGGCGGCAGCAGUCGAGAAUCAUUCACAAUGGGGGAAACCCUGAUGGUGCGACGCCGCGUGGGGGAAUGAAGGUCUUCGGAUUGUAAACCCCUGUCAUGUGGGAGCAAAUUAAAAAGAUAGUACCACAAGAGGAAGAGACGGCUAACUCUGUGCCAGCAGCCGCGGUAAUACAGAGGUCUCAAGCGUUGUUCGGAAUCACUGGGCGUAAAGCGUGCGUAGGCUGUUUCGUAAGUCGGGUGUGAAAGGCGCGGGCUCAACCCGCGGACGGCACAUGAUACUGCGAGACUAGAGUAAGGGAGGGGGAGCCGGAAUUCUCGGUGUAGCAGUGAAAUGCGUAGAUAUCGAGAGGAACACUCGUGGCGAAGGCGGGUUCCUGGACAUUAACUGACGCUGAGGCACGAAGGCCAGGGGAGCGAAAGGGAUUAGAUACCCCUGUAGUC